rnacentral:misc_RNA from 1 species
GAUGAAGAACGUAGCGAAAUGCGAUACGUAAUGUGAAUUGCAGAAUUCAGUGAAUCAUCGAAUCUUUGAACGCACAUUGCGCCCGCCAGUAUUCUGGCGGGCAUGCCUGUUCGAGCGUCAUUUCAACCAUCAAGCCCCCGGCUUGUGUUGGGGACCUGCGGCUGCCGCAGGCCCUGAAAACCAGUGGCGGGCUCGCUGUCACACCGAGCGUAGUAGAUUUUCAUCUCGCUCAGGGCGUGCUGCGGGUUCCGGCCGUAAAAAGCCUUAUUUACCCAAGGUUGACCUCGGAUCAGGUAGGAAGACCCGCUGAACUUAAGCAUAUCAAUAAGCGGAGGA